CUGAGCCGGUACCCCCACCUCAAGAGGAAGGAUGGAUCAAUUUUAGGUGAAUUGAAGCCUAUACUAAACAGCCUCCAAAGGAUAUUCCAAGCAAGUGAGCCCUGAGACUGCAAGCAGCUCUAAGAAGUUCCGCAUUGAUCAGGUCUUCCCUUUUGAGAAUCUGGAUAAGCUCCAACCAAUCUAAAAGGAUGGUUUGCAGACUGUCUGGAGAAAAAGAUCUUCCUCAGAAGAAUAGGCUUGUUGCCUUACAGUGUUAGUGACUCAUUCCCUUUGAUGAUCCUUAGGUGGAGAUGGGGCAUGAGGAUCCUCCAGGGGAAAAGCUCACUACCACUGGGCAACAACCCUAGGUCAGGAGAUUCUACUAAGAUUCUUUCCUGGGUCCAGAUAGGAAGAUGAAGUCUCAAGACAACCACCACACAUCUGAGGAAAACAGGGACAACAACUGCCAUAUCUUACAUUCAUCAUGACAUUCAUCAUGAGCAGAUCAUAAUUCUGGACCCUUUGAUCCC
rnacentral:lncRNA from 1 species